AAAUCGUGUUGUUGGCAUGAACUGAUAAGAUCCUUGAACCGCUCCCAAUAUUAAAAAAAUGUUUCAUCUUCCUUUUGGGUGAAGUUCAUGACAACUUUCUGAUGGU